rnacentral:rRNA from 1 species
UACGUAGGGGGCAAGCGUUAUCCGGAUUUACUGGGUGUAAAGGGAGCGUAGACGGCAUGGCAAGUCAGAUGUGAAAGCCCGGGGCUCAACCCCGGGACUGCAUUUGAAACUGUCAGGCUGGAGUGCAGGAGAGGUAAGUGGAAUUCCUAGUGUAGCGGUGAAAUGCGUAGAUAUUAGGAGGAACACCAGUGGCGAAGGCGGCUUACUGGACUGUAACUGACGUUGAGGCUCGAAAGCGUGGGGGGCAAACAGG